rnacentral:rRNA from 1 species
AUGUUGCGAAAACAAAGGCGGUUUCAGUUCGAGCUUUACUGGCAAUUCGUGCAAGGAUUUCAAGAGGUGGUUAGCGCGGCCUGGAACAGUAUGCCGCCCACCAGAGACCCGAUUUCCGCCUUCAAUACGAAGCUCAGGACGGUUGGGAAGGCCUUAUCUAUAUGGAGCAGAACAAAAGUUGGGAACCUCCAGAUGCAACUACUCGCGGCCCAAGAACUUAUCCUUCGUCUAGACUGUGCACAAGAUGAAAGGGCUCUCACUAUACAUGAGGCAACAAUCCGCUCAGCGCUCAAGUCUAGAUGCUUGGGCCUUGCGGUCCUGCUCAGGAUUAAGCAACGUCAAAGGGUUAAGGUCUCCUGGCUGAAAGACGGUCUCUCUAGCUCAAAGAUGUUCUUUAUCAAAGCCAACUCCCGUGCGAAGCGGAAUACCAUUCACUCCAUGACUGAUCCCCAUGGAGCGCUGCUAAGUGAUCAAGAAGAUAUCCUUAAGGCGGUUGGUGAGCAUUUCUCAGGAGUCCUAGGAACCCCAAGCGAAAUUUCGUCCGCUUUCUGUUGGUACUUCCUUAAUAUCAAUCCGGCAAAUCUCCAAGAGCUUGAUCAAAACUUCACAAUGGAGGAAAUAAAAGAGGCAAUUUGGGACAUGCCAACUGACAAAGCGCCCGGCCUGGAUGGCUUCUCGGGUGCAUUCUAUCGUGCUUGCUGGGAUAUCAUUAAGGAGGAUCUGCUCCUUGUCUUCCAGAGGCUGUUUAAUCUUAAUGCUCGGUCACUGCACAAAAUCAAUGAUGCAUUAAUUGUGCUGAUCCCAAAGAAAAAGGAUCCAGUGGGGAUUGGAGACUACCGCUCAAUCAGUCUAAUACACAGUCUUAUGAAGGUCAUCAUGAAAGUUCUUUCUAGGAGAUUGUCCCCAAGGCUGCCUACGCUCAUUUCUAAAUGCCAAAGCUCGUUCAUCAGCGGGCGCUGCAUACAAGAAAAUUUCAUCUAUGUACAACACCUAGCGCAGCACUCUCACCGAGCACAUGCCCUCGGUAUUGCUCAAACUUGA